GAUGAACGCUGGCGGCGUGCCUAAUACAUGCAAGUCGAGCGAACAGACGAGGAGCUUGCUCCUCUGACGUUAGCGGCGGACGGGUGAGUAACACGUGGAUAACCUACCUAUAAGACUGGGAUAACUUCGGGAAACCGGAGCUAAUACCGGAUAAUAUAUUGAACCGCAUGGUUCAAUAGUGAAAGACGGUUUUGCUGUCACUUAUAGAUGGAUCCGCGCCGCAUUAGCUAGUUGGUAAGGUAACAGCUUACCAAGGCAACGAUGCGUAGCCGACCUGAGAGGGUGAUCGGCCACACUGGAACUGAGACACGGUCCAGACUCCUACGGGAGGCAGCAGUAGGGAAUCUUACGCAAUGGGCGAAAGCAUGACGGAGCAACGCCGCGUGAGUGAUGAAGGUCUUCGGAUCGUAAAACUCUGUUAUUAGGGAAGAACAAAUGUGUAAGUAACUAUGCACGUCUUGACGGUACCUAAUCAGAAAGCCACGGCUAACUACGUG
rnacentral:rRNA from 1 species